UUAGCAGUAGCCACUCCACCUGGUCCCAACACUUGUAAAAUGGUAUUUCCUUUUGCAAAGUAGAGAGAUGGCUCUUAGGCUCGCCUCUUGCUUCUUGACUCCUGCAGGAGGUGCAAACUGCAACAUAGUGGGUGGUGCUGGCAGUUGCUUUUGGCAGGAGUGACCCUAACAUCUGCCCUCCUCUUGUGCUGUCGUUGAUGCAGAUGAGCAGGUACAGAUGGCUACCACCUUGGCUGCCAUCCACAGCAGCGUCUCCAGCCUACACCAAGAACAGGCCUAGUGUUCAAUGGUUUAUCUGUUCAAUAAUUUAUCUGCUCCGCAGAGAGGUGGUAAGGGAUCUGGCCUUCUCCUCAAGCUGAUAUGAAACUCAGCAGCUGCCAGUGAAGACCUGUAUUGUGUCCCACAGAAAAAAUUCCCAGUGGAUCUCAUGAUAGCAGAGGAUUUGUCAGAUCUUACUUGCAUAGAAUCAGUAGAGAUAAGUGAACUGAAUGCCCCCAUACUUCACAAGCGGCUCAAGUAUCCACUGGGUAGCUCUAAUCAAGCUGGCAUUGCUCUUACCCAAACUACCUAUACUGGGAGUGGAAAGUUCAGUUGACGAGCCAUCAUAUUAAAUCCAACAGGGAGACACAGCAUGUUAAACCACGUUAGACCUGAUGUCUGUAUCUAGUCUAGGUGAUUGCUGCUGUGCUAAUUAGAGGAAUCACAUGAACCCUGAAGAGGUAGUUGUGGGACUACCUGUCUUACAGAAGUGCUGUCUGGCUCAGAGGGAGGAGGGCCUGGGACUUUGCAUUCCUUUACUUAAUGAGGAUACUAUUGGGCCUUUUUUAUAUCUGUACCAAUGUGUUACAGCACAUAGGAAAACAUAUUUUUAUUAUUUUAAAAGAUAGAUAGCAAAGAAGCUAUUUCCCUUUGCAGAGCAGUGAGAUUGUUAGUGCAACACAUUUUUUCAACUUUGCUAAAAUAAUAAAUAUGCCAUUUUCCAAGCUUCAGUCAGUAGUCAAUUGUUGUUGAUGUGACCUUUGAGAUGAAUGGAUGAUUUGCAAAGAAGUUUAAAAUACAUAAAGAAUAAGCCUGCAAGGACAUGAUAAUUUCACAACAGAGAACUUAUGGCCACUAUAUGUUUCAGUGUUCCUAUUGCCUUUCUGUUUCCUGCCUUGUCGAAAUCUGAACAUGGUAUUUUUCUUUUUCUCCUCUGCUCUCUACUCCCCUCUUCCAUUCCCACGAUACUGCCCUGAUUCAUUGAGUUAUUUUUUUCACAAACAAUUCUAGCGUUAGUGCCUUUUCAGGAAAACAAAACAAAAAAUGAAAACAAAGAAAAAAAGAAUCCCUAAAUUAUCCAAAAAAACCCAUGAGGUGCGAUUUCAGUGGACGUUAAAUGCAUGUACCCAUGGGUAGCUCUUUAGAAGCUGAUAGGGUAAGGUAAAAUUAACAGUAUCGAGUAAUCAGUCCUUUUCGUAAUGAAGCACUAAAUUCACACUAGCAGAGAGGAGUGUUUUUUCUGGGUAAUGAAAGAUUGUACACAUACCUCAGUCAUCCCUGUGACCCCAGUGGCUUUUUUUUCUGUUCACUGGAUUAACAGCACUGCACAUGUGCUUAUAGCACUGGCCUUUUCACUGCUGUCUACCCAACUUUUGUUCAAAACCACUUUAUUUGCUUGUUCUUUUCUGAGUCACAACAAAGGAAAGAGAGUAUACUGGUUACCCUCUAAAUGAGAAAUCUAUGGCUCAAAUCAAGUGCAGUCACACUUUUUUUUCUCUCUCACCUUGACCAGGAGGUGCAGAGCUGGGAAUUCUGUUUGAGCAGCUGUUUCUCUCCGUGGUUGUCAAGUCCCAAGAGAACUGAAAGGGCAGAAUCCUUACUGGACAGUGUGACUUCAUCUUGCCUCCACACCUUCACUGGAGCCCUACUGUUGCUGACAGGAGGAUAGCAGACCAAGAGAACUUUCUUCAUUGUUGGAAGCUGGACAUACUAUUGUAUUGCUUUAGGAGAAAAAGUGGCUGACAUCCCACUCCCACUGGAAUCAGCUCUGGAUUUUGUCAUUGGUCUUGGUACAGCUGACAUUCUUACCUCUUGGGCUUCCUGAUAGCUGAGAGAGGUCUGGAGAGGCAAGUGGAGAAACUGGAAUUUUUAACACCUCCUGUGCUCAGGAAAAUAGAAAGCCGGCAACAAAGAUUCUAGGAUUCCAAGAAAGUUCCAGCAAUGAAAAUAAAUGAAUUAAACAUCUUUAAUGAUAUGUUCAGAGAGGAGAGGCAAAAAGGCUUUUUUAGACUGCUUGGUCUCUUCCUGCAGAUACAAUACAUGUUUGAAAGUGAGGAAGUUCAAAGUUUGCCAUUUCAGGUUACAGACACAUGUGAAAUCUAAUGAAUGAACCCUGUCUACAACUACCUGAAAGGAGGUUAUAUGAAGCCUGUGACAAUACACCUCCAGCUCAGAUGAAAGGAAGACAGUUGUAUGCAUCUGGAACUGAAGCUGCGACAUGUUAAUGACCUUACCAGAAAAUUCAGGUGUUGAUAUAAAAGUAAAUGCACUAGAGUACUUACUCUCAAAUGUAUGAAGUAUGCCUAUCCUGGAUUUACCAAAUUACUAAAACCUUAAGAAUUAAAAAGAUUAAAUUUUCAACAUUGCUGAAAAAAACAUUAAUUUCGUUUCAACAAGGACCAAUGAAAGAUAAAUUUUAUUUAAGAUAAGCUGUACAUUUAGAAAAGUUAUACACAAAAAAUGUUGCUAGGCAAAUUAUAAAUUCUAGAGAGCAGUAUAUAUAUUCAUACAGGUUUACAAAUCUCAGUAGAAAAGCUGUGUACCUUCUAGCUGAUACAGACACAUCCAAGGGGAAACCUAGUGAACGAGUUUGGACAAUGAGAGAAACAAAAGAUCUGUUGGACUAGAGAAGAAAAAAGACAGGAAGGGUUCUUAAUUUGUUUUCCCCUGGACAAAAUACAUGAAUGAAUGAUGUUUAUAUACAGCAUAGAAUCACAUUGUAAAAAAUGACCUAGAGAGAUACCAGGACUUCGUGGGACCAGUCCAUCUGAAAAGGGGGCAUAAUCUGCCUUUAUUGUAGCAUUUUGGUACCUUAACUCCCAGAAGAAAUAAGUUUAAGGAAAAAGACAACAUUUAAGAAGAGCCAUUUCACAAUUUUCUUCUUGACUAGACAAGUUCCCAAUAGGUCAAACAGAUGCCAGUGGGGAGAUUUCUGGAUGAGAAAUUGCUGUAUUUCCUUAGCCUGAAAAUUGCCUCCCUCCUGUCUCUUUCUAGCCCACUGUUCAAUCAAUCAGCUCAAAUGGGGAAGCAUACUGAAGCAUCUCUUCCUCUUUUCAUGCCAACUUACAUUUAGUGCCCACAUGGAAACCUGUAUGGGAUGCUUGUGUGAUACAACCUAGUGGCAGCAGAAGUGUAACAUAGUCUUUCGUGCUUUGGUGAUCUGUCCAUUGAGAGAUUUAGAUUUUAGCGUUUGCUAAAGUGAAGAAAAAAGUCAGUGUUUUUCUAUUCUCACAAAGCCCAUCAGAUAAUUAGAUGACAAUUUUUACCCCUAAAUAAGAAGCAGAGAAGUAGUCAUAGUCAGUGUGAUCGAACCGCUUAGAAACAAUUAAUUACAUUAAACUUCUGUAUGAAGUUUCAUAGCUGUGUUGACUACACAGAGUUUUGGAGGGUCUAUAAUCCUCCAGAGCUUUCAGGCUGUAUGUACUCUCCAAAUUGUUUGCACUACCAGUUCAUCUCCCUCGGUAUGAGCUAUGCUGACAGUAUUAGCAAGGGAUAGCGGUCAGCUCUAACCAGUACUUCAAAGACUAGGCUGAUUAGACAUGCUCAGAGCCCUUAACAGCAAACAGGCUUUGCCUAGCUUCAGUAAACAAAUAGAGGUGAAGCUGUGCUGGUCAACAUGAGUUUCUACAGGAGUCAGACUCAAACAACUAAAUCAGAGAAGAUUGCUGUUUAGCCUUCUUUUAACGAUAAAGGCAAUUCAGAUAAUUUCCAUCCAGCUGGAACUAUCCUUCCUAACUUAUAGGAAAUCAAAACAGUCUGCCUGUGCUGAAUCUUAGAUUAGCAUAAAUGACAUGCUACGCAUCUUGCUGACACAGGAAAAGUAACCAAGAUAAAGAUUUUCAUACAUCAUAAGUGUGCCAGAAAAAUUUGUAUGUGCAGCCACUUAUAAGAAAAACUAAUAUUUGAGACAAUUUUCCGUUUUGAAAAUCAAAUAAUAAAUAUAGAGUAAAAUGGAAUGCCCACAUGGGGGAGUUAUUGCAGAACAGUUAAAGAAAGUACUCCUGGCCUUUGGAAAGAAUGAUUAAGCUGAAAUUAGAGUUGACAAUGGUGAGAAACCAAACAGUAUUAUUUCUGGUAAGCAAAGCACUGAAUACUUUUCAUUUGUGGCUUCCUCAUAUGGCAGAUUUGUCCAGUUCAUUAUUUUUCCUUCUCAUAGGUAAACGGUAGUGGUAAAUAUGUAGCAUAGCAUAAAAUAUCUGAAUGUCCAAAAAAGUCUGAAUGUGCCCAUGAAAAUUAUUUCACUCUUAAUGAAAGAGUCAUAAUAUUUUAAAUAUUUUGUGCAAGGUUGAGCACCAGCUCCUGUAUGAGCAAAAAUUUUGAAAAGAGCUUAGUACUAUCUAUCAUUGUUAAAACUUUAGUCAACAUAAAUUAGAAGUGACAUGUAGCUGUAAGGAACUUCACAGAGUUUACAGUGAACACAAUGGAGCUGUUUAAACAGCUCUCUUCAUAUCCAAGAGCGGGAAGCAUGUAUGCACUCAUCUGCCAGGGCACUUUGAAUGCCCCUGGCAAAACAGUGGUGCAAUACGCAUCAUGUGUCCACAAAUCAAAAUCAAAACCAUGUCAUCUUUGGUGGUUAAUCUCAAACAGUAAUGAAAGUAUAAGGAGAGAAAAUGCAUCACAGAAACAGAUUAUACUUUUUUAAAACAAAUCAUUGUGGCAAGAAAGAAAACCUUCAUGACUGUGGAGAUCUAGAAUAAGGCUACAGAACAGUUCCACAACUGGUAGACUCUCAUGAGAUAUAGACAAACCCUUGGAGAACUGCAUAUUUUGGCAUGAGCAACUCAACAAAAGAUGAAUUUCAGGCACCUAGAUCUUAGAUUUCUGGUAUUCACUGUAGCAUUUAUGUGGUGUGACACAGAUACCCAACAUUUUUUGGCCUUGCCAGAUACAUGUUUACAGUUUAGCAUGAUCUGAAAGAGAACAAGAAAAUAAAUAUCACCAUGAGACUGGAAAGACACGUUAGUGGGUAGACAAUGUCUUUGGAAAUGGAAGUGGCAUUUUAUUUUCAGUGUUACUAUUAACAUCUGGUAUUAAUGGUUAUGAAACCAAUUAAAAAAGAACAUGAGCACUGGUACUCCGAAGUGACAAAACCACCCCACAGAAGAUAAAUCACAGGCUUUCCUGAUGCCACUGAUAGUGGCUGUAUGCUGAGUAUAGCUUUACUGUGAACAGUUAAAAUAAAUGUUUAUAAAACACAGACCGUAAAUAUUUGGAUUGCUCCUGGGUAGUGAGACUUAUUUACUCAAACAUACGAAGACUUUGCACUCUGAAAAACUCAUGAAGUAAUCUACCGUAUUAAUCUAACAAAAAGUCAGCUGGUUGCUCAGAUUUGCCUUAGUCCUUUCCUUAAUAGAGUCAGGAAUGUGUCUUCAGCAAGAAAAGAGGAGAAAUCUGUUAGAUCAUUUGUCAGAAUUAUACAGAGUGUAUAAGAAGAGAUUAUUCUGGUAAUGCAACUUUUCUAUGAAGACAGUAAAGCGUGUUUUGAAGAAUCGAUCAAGGGAAAUUUAUACCAACACAAGACCAGUGUGCAAAAAACAUUUCACUGACAUGUCAGCCCUUAGCAGUGUAACAUUGUUCAACCAGCCUCUCCGCAGAGGAGUCCAUGUAUGAGCUUCUGACCCCAUCGUUAUGAACAGAUUUGUCAUUCACUCUGGAGAGACCAGAACUCAUCCCAGAUUACUCACCAUCUCAGAAGAAUACUGUAUGAUAAGGAUCACUGAAAAUCCCCAGAUUAUAUGACUCUGAUAUGUGACUCUGAUAUGGCAAAACUUCUGAACAUUCUUCCUUAUGACAGAACAUCCAGAUGACAGCCUGGUUACACAGAUAGCCAAAAUCCUACUUUUGUUUGCCCGUUAGCUAAAGCCUCAAGAAAAGUGAGUCUGGUCCAUUUGUAUCACAGAAGUCGUUGAAACAGAGACAAAGUCAGAACUCCAGGGUCUAUAUCAGCAUGUCUGGGCAAACAUAUAAUGAUGGCCUGAUCCAUAGACAGUUAAAGGCCAUGGACACACUAGUUUAGAUUUCACAGGGCUUAGGUAGGUCUAUGGUUUUCUGCAUAUUUUUCCUUCUUAACCUAAGUGUGAUGAAACUUUCAUAUUUCAUCAGUAACACAAGUCUGGAUGCUUAAACUCUUUGAUACUUUCAGCCUAGCUUCAGAAAGUCUGCCUCAGUUGUCUGUAGAAAUUUCUGUUGUUGUGGCUGAGGAACAGAAUUAAGAUUUAAUUCACUUGGGAGAGAAAGAGGGAACAGUGUAUGGUUGCUGAUGAAUUGUUGGUAUAUUACUCCUACUCGUAUCCCAACCUGACCCGUAUUUAUUUAAGCACAAAAUUACCAAAAAAUAAAUGAGCCUUAUUUUUUUAAGAAUGCUGUUUUGCUGUAUGAGCUAUCAUACAUUUCAGAUAGAAGCUAUAUAAAUGCACGAAUAAUUUUUCUUUAAAAACAGCGGAAAACAAGUUUUUUAAUGUAUAGUAAGAAAAGAUUUUAAAAAUAAAGAUCUAUCCUAUGGCUAGCGACUGAAGAGGAAGGAUUGGACCCAUAAGAGCUAUCACAUUAAAAGUAUGUGACUGUACAUCUGUGGCAUGCUGUGUCCAUUUUAUAGAGAAAAGAAAUAGCCUGGGGACCUUCCAAAGGUUUGUCUUCAUCAAGAGGACUUCCAAAUAUGUCUCCUUGGGUCUGCCAGUGGGCCGUAGACACUGUUCUGAGUUAUCACCAGUACUGACCAUGUUUCAGUUUUAUUUUGUUAGGUAAAAUGAUGCUUAAC